rnacentral:rRNA from 1 species
CCAAUAGCGUAUAUUAAAGUUGCUGCAGUUAAAAAGCUCGUAGUUGAAUUUCGGGACCAUCAUGUCGGUCGUGCCUCGGUACGUACUGGUAUUGUUGGUUUCUCCCUUCUGACGAACCAUGAUGUCAUUUAUUUGGUGUUGUGGGGAAUCAGGACUGUUACUUUGAAAAAAUUAGAGUGUUUAAAGCAGGCUCACGCUUGAAUACAUUAGCAUGGAAUAAUGAAAUAGGACGUUUGAUUCUAUUUUGUUGGUUUCUAGGAUCGACGUAAUGAUUAAUAGGGAUAGUGGGGGGCAUUAGUAUUCAAUUGUCAGAGGUGAAAUUCUUGGAUUUAUUGAAGACUAACUACUGCGAAAGCAUUUGCCAAGGAUGUUUUCAUUAAUCAAGAACGAAAGUUAGGGGAUCGAAGACGAUCAGAUACCGUCGUAGUCUUAACCAUAAACUAUGCCGACUAGGGAUCGGAUGAUGUUAAUUUUUUAAUGACUCAUUCGGCGCCUUACG